GGGCAAUUAGCUCAGUUGAAAGAAAAAGAGCAUCGCCGCCCUUUAUAACGAAUGGCGAGGGUCGCUGGCAUCAAGUCCAGUAUCACCCACCA
rnacentral:tRNA from 1 species